AGGGAAAGCUUGAGGCAGGCCUAACACAUGCAAGUCGAGCGGAUGAAGGGAGCUUGCUCCUGGAUUCAGCGGCGGACGGGUGAGUAAUGCCUAGGAAUCUGCCUGGUAGUGGGGGAUAACGUCCGGAAACGGGCGCUAAUACCGCAUACGUCCUGAGGGAGAAAGUGGGGGAUCUUCGGACCUCACGCUAUCAGAUGAGCCUAGGUCGGAUUAGCUAGUUGGUGGGGUAAAGGCCUACCAAGGCGACGAUCCGUAACUGGUCUGAGAGGAUGAUCAGUCACACUGGAACUGAGACACGGUCCAGACUCCUACGGGAGGCAGCAGUGGGGAAUAUUGGACAAUGGGCGAAAGCCUGAUCCAGCCAUGCCGCGUGUGUGAAGAAGGUCUUCGGAUUGUAAAGCACUUUAAGUUGGGAGGAAGGGCAGUAAGUUAAUACCUUGCUGUUUUGACGUUACCAACAGAAUAAGCACCGGCUAACUUCGUG
rnacentral:rRNA from 1 species